UUUCAGUGAGCCAAGCCAGAGUGGUUGAUCGUCCGAACGGUGUUUGCCGUAGGUGUUGAGCAGCGCAUGUGCCUC
rnacentral:antisense_RNA from 1 species